rnacentral:rRNA from 1 species
CCUACGGGAGGCUGCAGUGGGGAAUAUUGCACAAUGGGGGAAACCCUGAUGCAGCGACGCCGCGUGAGUGAGGAAGUCUUUCGGUAUGUAAAGCUCUAUCAGCAGGGAAGAAAAUCACGGUACCUGACUAAGAAGCCCCGGCUAACUACGUGCCAGCAGCCGCGGUACUACGUAGGGGGCAAGCGUUAUCCGGAUUUACUGGGUGUAAAGGGAGCGUAAAGGGUUAAUCAAGUCAGGAGGGAAAACCCCGGGCUCAACCUUGGGACUGCCUUUGAAACUGAGUAGCUAGAGUGCAGGAGAGGUAAGCGGAAUUCCUAGUGUAGCGGUGAAAUGCGUAGAUAUUAGGAGGAACACCGGUGGCGAAGGCAGCAUACUGGACUGUAACUGACGUUGAGGCACGAAAGCGUGGGGAGCAAACAGGAUUAGAUACCCGAGUAGUC